rnacentral:lncRNA from 1 species
GAACAAAAAAAAAUCUUAAAAGUUAAACAGAAUAUCGGAAGUAUAAAUAAUAGAUUUUAUUUUUUAUUUUUUAAAAAUCGAAUUAAUCAGAGCAAUACUAACAAAAUAAUAUUGUAAAGUUACUUAGGACAUCCCUUCCUCUUAUCUCUCCGUGUGGUCGCUUUCAUUGGCUUCAUAAUCAUACACAUAUUCAUGGCCCACUUACGAAGCCAUCUCACAACCACAAAAUAUAAUUUUCAAAAGAAAAAUGACCGUUCGGACAGCUUGUUAAGUUUUUCCACACUUCUUCCUCACUUUCCCACUCUCUAUAACGGCUACAAUAGAAGGCUCUGGAACAAUCUACCUGUUUUAAGACGGCGGGACACGUGUAACCAAUCACAUGGGCUGCUUUUGCUCGAAAAUGGAGAAGAAUAAGCUGUAGUGUUACUCUUAGAUGUGAAUUAUUUGCUUCAAAUGAUGCUUUAGUUGUUUCUAGUGAAAAUAGAGCAAUAGUAAUUUUUUUUUUUUACCAUUUAAUAUGAUGUACAAUGAAUUUUUUACACUAUGUACUAUUAUGCAGCAGUUACAACAUUUUAAAGUCCAUCAAAUAGUAUAAUCCAUUAGAAAAUCCAAUAAAUUUCUCAUUGCUCUUUUGAAUAAUAUUUACUAUAUUUGUGCAUAUUAAUUAUUAAAAAAAAUUUAUUUACACCCGGUGUUUGGAUCUAUUUAUACAUCAAAUCAAUCACAAAUAAUAUUUUGAUUUAAUCAAAUGUAUUUCUAAUCAUAUAUUAAAAAAAGAUAAAAUAAUAAUUUUUUUGAUUGGUUUACUGAAUGAGACUACCCAUAUACUAAGUGUUGAUAAAAAUUUCCUUAAUUAUUAUAGAAAAGUUAGAAAUAAUUCAAUCGCUUUUCCUUAACUUACUUUUUUGCACUUAAUGUAAUAAAAAAAACUUCAAAACUUUAAUAAUGUAAAAUGAUUCUUACUAAAUUGUAUAGUUAAGUCUAAUAGGAUUGUUGAGACUUUGGUUCUUAAUUUAUGAAAUUUCAAUUUUUAUCCUAAAAAAAAAAAAACAAAGUAACAGGAAAGCUCAUAUAAAUGAACAUGCAAGAGAAAAAAAAAUCAUUUUUUAACUAAAGUAAAUUAUUGCAUACUUCCCUCCUAGAUUACUCUGAAAAAUAAAAAAUAAAAUACACAAAAUUAAAAAUAUACGAGCUUUGUUAACAGAUACAUAUUACGUACAUUUACGAUUACAUUCUUAGCAUAAUAUCAAAAUUUUCAAAAACAUUACAGUUCUUUUAUUCUAUUUACAUUGUAAGUAUCUCUCUACACAGAUUAUGCCAAAAAUACUUUUUGAAUAUCAGUUAAUCAGAUUUAAAAUAGAAUCAGGUGCAGGUGAUAUUACUUAAAAAAAUAAUAUUUCACUGUGCCACGGCAUAUAAGAUAAAAGUGUAAUCGGCAUAUAAGAAGGCACAAAAUCAAGAGAGUUGACAUGAAUGGACUGCUGUUGGGAGUGUGAGUUGGACGGAUUUGAAAUAAAGAUAAGAGGAAAGGCAUAGGUGGGACCUGUUUACUGUGCCACAGCAUGAACCGUGAUGUUUUUUGCCAGCUGGUGGACACGUGAUUCUUGAUUAGUUCAAUUACUGCAUUUGAUCAAACAUGGCCCCACUCUUUGAAUAUUUAAUUUAAGAAAAAAACCCAACCAGAACACCUCAUAUUUCCUGACUGAAAUGCUUGCUUGCUGCGGGCUACUACAAUAUAUAAGAUAUAUCUAUACUGAAACCCUUUAUCUUUAAUUGGCAUUAUUAAAAGAUUUUGUAACCUUACACCGUGGAAAUACUGGAAAUGACAAUUUUAACUCAUUUAAAUGUAAAAGUUAAUUAACAAAUUUAUUUUGGAUAAUUUAUACAAAAUAUGAAUAAAUAUUGUAUUUCUAAAAUAUAAGUCGUUUAAAGUAUUGCAUGCGAUUAAUGAAUCAAUUAAUUUCGCUAAAAAUUAUAUCACUCCGUCUCAAAAUUUAAGUUGUCUAAGGUGAUAAUUUUAUCACAAAAUAUAAGUCAUUUUGAAUAUUUUAAGAAAUUACAAAUGAUUUUUUUUCUUUCAACUGUAUCCUUAUUUAUAUUAGAUAUAAUACAACGAUGUGAGAUAAAAGUAACAAUGAGAGAUAAAUGAUAAUUUGUUCAAAUUACUCUUGAUUUUGUUAGAAAUUUAGAAAAAUUAAUUGCAUUUUUAAUUCUCGUAUAAAAAUCUUAAACGACUUAUAUUUUGGACAAAUAGAGUAAUAAACUCAACAAUAAUUUGAUUUAUGAGAAUUAAUUUAAACGAUCAAAUUAUCCUUAAUCUCAAAAUCAAGUUAUUGUAUUAUGAAUAAAGUUAAAAUUGGAAAAAAGAUUAUUUGUUAAAUAUGUUUUGAAAUCAAAUAGUUUUAUGAGUUAAAAAGAUUAGAAAUAAUCAUUUUUUAAAUUCAUUUGGUGUUAAAUUGGGAUGAUAAAUUAUCAAAAAAAAAAAAAAAAUAUAUAUAUAUAUAUAUAUUUGACAAACAGAUUGAAAGCUAGUUCUUUUGAAAGUUUACUGAGAACACAAAUUACAAGCUCAUAGUAGUUAGUAGCUUGAUUAAGGAAACCCAUGAAGGACAAAAUGACAGUGGCAAAUGCCUUUGAGACCAAAAGGCUUCAGCUUCAAUUUUUUAUAACGUAACAUUUAAUAUCUUUCUCUUUAUGAUUUUUAAAUUAUUGUAAUUGCUAUCAACAGUAUAAAGUAUAGAAAAUUCAUUAUAUAUAAUAUUGAAUAAAAAAAAAAAAAGGGUGAGAAAUGUCAUUAUUUAUAGAAUUAAUUCACACAAACAUAAAUGCGAAGCUUCAUUCUACCUUUUAGGUGCUACCAUUCACUGAAGGGGAACGCACGCAUCAUUGAAGCUCAACGCCUGUCUUUUGCACUUUUCAAACUGAAUCAUUUCAUUCGUGAAAUAAAUUGAUGGAUAAAGGGCAAUUGCCAAACAAUAUUAACGGCAAAAACAAACGAGUCUUUUUUUUUUUUCUUUUUCUUUUCUUUUCAUUAGAAUAUUUAAAGUAUUGGUUAGAGGUAUAAUUAUAAAAUAUAAUUGAUCUCAUAAUUAAUCUUUUCCUUUUCUUAAUAAUAAUCAUUAUAGUCUUGCUUUUGGUGUUAUAGUUGUUUUUUUUUUUUAAUAAUAAAAAAAUAAUGUAUUAUGUCAAUCGAAUGUGAUCUGAUUGGUAUUUCCAUUCACCUUGAGAAGUUUCAAAUUUUAGAUAGUUAACUAUCAGAGUUAUCGUCAAUUUUGCUUAUAAAACAACAAGAGAGCUACCUAUAUUAUGCAGCCCACAAAAAUUCUUUAUAAUAAAUUAAAAAAAUAUUAUUUUAUUAAAAUUGAUAUAUUAUAUUUGUUAUUUAAUAGUUUGAACUAGAAAAAUAAGCUACUAAAAUUCACACAGAUUUUCUUAAAUAUAAAUUUUUACUAUGAAAAAUAGAAAUCAAAGUCAGAAAACAGAAAUGAUACAAAAUAGACACGUAAUCAUAUUUGAUGAGCAUUUCUCAUAAUACACGUUAGCUUGUUUAGCUUGUUUCGUGUAAAUUGAUGAUCCCAUUCUGUUUCGACAUAAAUGGUAUCAUUGGUUAUUAUAAACAAUUUCAAAAAUUUUUGAGCUACCACCAUAAAUACAACUUGUAUGAUUUCAAUUUUCAAAUUUAAAAGUUAUCUAAUAUCUACUUUAUCAAUGGACCUACACCUUUCCAAAUUUCUUGUUAAUCUUAUGCAUUAGAAAAUUUAGCCAAAUAAAAUUGAUAUUAUAUAUCAAUUUUAUUUAUUUUUCAAUUUAAAAUCACAAGUUUAAUUAUCGGAAAAUGCAUAUACUAUGAAGAAAAAAUUUUUAUAAUCAACUAUCCAAAAGAGAUUAGUUUACACCAAUAUAGUAGAAGAAAAAUAGUGGAAGAACACGUGACGAUUCUAAUAUGAUAUACAUAAACUAAAAAUAUUUUAAAGGAGUCUUCACUUAUAAUUUUGUUUUCAAAAUUUAAUACUUGUAAUUUGUUUUAACCAACUAUUUACUAUUUUUAAUUGAUUUUGUAAACUCAAAACUCCAUUUAUUUUUCAAAAAAUAAUUUAUUUUUAAAAAAUAUUUUUAAAAGCAAAACAUACUUGAAAAUUUGAAAUAACACAUUUUCUAUUGUUUGGUUACAAUAUUGAAAAAUUGUUAAAAAAUAUUAAAGCUUUUAUAAGAUCGAAAAAAUUUAUAAUUAUAAAAAGUUUCACAUUUUAAAAUUUUAUUAUUUAAUACAACAUAAAUAUUUAUUACGUGCUUGAUUGUAAUUUGUAUCUAAGACUUAAUCAUAUUUUAUGGACCAAAGAUAUAUUUUGUAUAGAAUCCAGAUAGAAAUAAGAGAUUAUAUUCCUAAAUCCUUCGCUAACUCUCAAUGAACUAGCAAUCACUCCAAAAUACUUAUUGAAUUGGUAUUUCAAAUAUUUAUCUAAUAAAGAUUCCACCUACAACUCUAAUGAAAAUUCUUUACCUCUGUAUAAAAGAGGGAUCAAACUCCCUACUCACACUAUUUAGGCAAUGUAAUACCAAUAUAUUUCAUUCAAUUAUAAGUAUUUAUUAUUUAUUUACUGACUUAAACAUAAAAGUGAUUGCAGGCCUAGAUGAGACCUUUAUUAUUCGUUUAUGUCUUGCAGAUUUCUACGGACCUCUCUUUAUUUUUCCUUGUUCAUUUAUGUCUUACAGAUUUUUACAUAGGCGCUAUGGAUAGAUUUUUCUAAGUCUAUCAUUAUUAAAUAUGAGAAACAAUAUUAUAAAAAAAGAUAAAUUACGAUAUCUAUCGAUGACCGUGGUCGUGAAAAUAAUGAUUAAUUAAUAAUAAAUAUGUAUUUAUAAGUUUAUAAUAAAUUUAUCAGUAUCUGAAAAAUAUUUUUCUCUUUUAGAAAAAGAAAGUUAUAAAAAUGAUUUAGUUCUCUCUUUCUUAAGGAAAAUAUCAUCUGUUGCUAAUUUUCUUGAACACUUCAAACAUUAAAAAAAAAUCUAAAAAAUAUUAUUCAGACAAGUUAUUUCUCGAAAUUAAUGGAAUCUCAAUAUUAAUUUAUUAUUAUUUUUUCCAUUGAGAAAAAAAUAUAUUAGAUUUAUUCCACUAUUGAGAAUAAAGGAAAUCAUUUAAAAUAAGAAAGCUCAAAAAGUUAUAGCCGUAAUACUAAUAGCAUUAUUUCAAAUUUGUUUGACAUGAUGUAAUCAACCGAAAUGAUAAUUACAUUAUAUGAGUAAUUACAUUAUUUGAUUAGACUUUUUUUAAUAGCGUAGUAUAAUUGAGACUACGUGUAUAAUCUUCAUCACUUAAAUUGAUGUAAUACUCAUUACAUGAAAAAACACACAUAUUGUCUAUUACAUCAAGUAAAUGGAAUACCGAUUAUAUUAAGUCAUCCCAAUCAAAACUCUACCAUUCUAGAUUAUUUAGGCUGUGUUGGGUAAUAAAGUUUUGAGUGGCUUUUAAAGUUUUGACUGGUCAAAACGUUACUUAAAAAGUUGUUUGGUAACAUAGCGUUUGGACUAGCUUUUAGAGAUUAGAAUAACGUUUUGUGAAAAGUUAACUCACGUAACGUUUAGCUUUUAGCGUUUCAUGAAAAACUACUCAAACAGCUAACAACUAAACACUAUUAAAAUAGCAAAUAGCUACCAAAAUAGCUAAUUUUGCCGAACAUAUCCUUAAUACUACCACUUCACCACCACAACCACUAUCACCGCUUCACCACCACAGCACCACCUUAACACCCACCACAACCACUGCCACAAUUACUACUCCACCACCACCACCACCACUACUGUUCCAUCACUACUUCAACCACCAUUACCGCUCUGCAACGACAACCAUCACCAUUGUUCUACCAUCACCACUACUACCACCAUCACUGCUCCAUCACUAUCACCUCAACUACCACCACCGCUGCUGCUGCCUCAACUCCUACCAUCAUCGCUCCACCACCACUAUCACCACCAUCGCUUUACCACCACCACCAUGUGGUGGUGAUAUGAUUAGUGGUGAUGGUGUGCUAAUUAUAUUACAUAUUUACAAAAAAAAAAAAAAAGAACGAUGAUUAUAUUCCUAAAUUUUCUUGAUAAUAUUAUCAAACAUAGUAAUGAAAUCUUAAUUAAAUUACGUUUUUCAUCACAUUACUUCUUUAAUUACAUUAUAUUGCCUUACAUCAAACCAGACAUAGCGUUAGCAUGUAUAUCCUCAUACACAUCAAAACUUGACUCUAAUAUCUAUGAGAAAAAUGCACAGUUAAGCCCUUAAAUUUAAUCAGUUUUUCCAUUAAACUUUUAUUUAUGAAUAUUAAGUUUUUAAACUUUUAUUUUUUUUAAAAAAAUUAAACUCUAUUUAACCGAGAUUUAAACUUUUAUUUUUUUAAAUUAAACUCUUAUUUAAUUAUGAGUUAAACAAUUAUAAUCCCAUAUGUUAUACGCGGUUGAUGGGAAAACUUAAUCGAAUUGUUAAAUCUCUUAAACUUUUAUUUUUUGAAAAUUAAGUUUUUAAAUUUGUACUUUUGUUAAAGUGAGUAUUUAAAUUAUUUCCAUUAUCAGUGAUUUGAAUUUAUUAUUUACUCACUAUCGAUUUAGAACUUAAUUUUAACUUAAAUAAAAAUUGAAGGAUUCAAUAUUGAUAAAUGAAAUUGCAGGAGCUUAGUAGACAAAACUUGAAAAAUAAGAGGCUUAAGUACAUCUUUUACCAAAUAUAAUCAAGAGUUAAUUUACACUCACACAUAGGUGAGGAUAGGAUUAGGAUAGAAGUGUGGUAAGUGCCCGCGAACUUUGAGUUAUCCAUAUCUAUAUCUGUUUAGAGCUUUAAAAUCAAUUGUAUCUAUGUUAAAUCCGUUUAAAUACCUAUAUCAAAAUCUGUUUAAAAUUUUACUGUCCGAUCCAUUCAAAAUCUAUUUUAAAUACUUGUAUUUGAUGUUCAUAAAAUUUAAACCAUUUAAACACGAACUUAUUUAAAAAAGUAUCUUCCAUUGAUAAUGGAUAAAGUAUCAAGGAUACUCACAGUAAAACUCAUUUAAUAUAAUGGAUAACAAGUAACGAAUAUUCAAACUCAUUUAGUAAAACUCCUGAAUUCAAACGACAGGAUUUGCAAGUGAAGAGAGAUGGAACCUAAAACGGUUGGCUAUGUACUCAAUGUAGAUUCACUAACAAAGUACAACAAAUGCAAAUACCAAGUAAAAAGGAACAAAUGGUUAAGAAUUCAGACAAAGUCCUAACUUCAAAGUUCAAAGUUCAAACCAUAAAAUCAUUUCAGUAAGGAGAAAUCAAACUAAAACUUUUGAAUGUUAAAAUUUCAACUUUAACCACAGAACCAAAACCCUGUUAGCUAUGUACUAACACAAAGUGCAAGAAACACCGAGUACGAACUCAAGCACAGUAAGAUUGAGCUGGAUUGCCCAUAACCCAAAAACACUAGAAUGUGUCUGGUGUGGAGGGGUCCAGAAGCCAACUUAAAUAGAAGCAGAGGGACAACACUGGAAAUUAUGAUUUAAAAAAAAAAAAAAAAAAAAAACUAAAAAGCAAAGAGAGAAACAGACAAGAAAUAACCGUUGUAGGGGUGGCUUUUUGGGUUGGAUGCCAGGCUGACGCUUGAGCCCCCCUCAGAUGAUUCAGCUCACAUGGUCUAUCUGUACACUCUGGGUCCCACCCUCCACUUUCUCUCUCUACUACCCUCUUUGGAUUAGUUGUCAAAUGAUCCUUUUAUGUUAUCAUAUUACACACUUUCAUCCUAUCUAUUUCAAAGUUACUAACUUUAGUUAAUGAGAUUUAAUCUGCCAAAUGCAUAAAUUAAUAUCUAAAUUUUAUAAGAAGAGUCUAGUAGCACCUUUAAACGUUGAAAACUUCUUUUCGUAAAAUUAUAGCUAGUAAAUGCCUUAAUUUAAAAAACCGUAUUUAUUAAAUACUUAAACGUAUAUAAUUAUGUUUAUUAAAUAUUUAUCGGAUGAUUUAAAAUAUAAAAAUUUUAUUAUUUAAUAAAUUAUAUUAAAAGUUAUAUAAAAUGUUACACUUAUUGAAUAUAUUAUUUAGUAAUUGUUGUAAAAUUAAAAACCCUGUUUUUUUUUUUUUCAAAUUAAGUUGAUACUUAGUCUCAACUGUGCUUUUAUCCAUAAUUUUAAAUAAUUUAUUUGUAGAAACCCUAAAAACCAUAUAUUUUUCGUUGACAUAUCAUAAAAAUUAAAAUUAUUAAUUUCAAACUGUUUAAAUACUGGUAAAAUGUAAAAUAAUGCAAAUGGUGACAGUUUUUGCAACCAACUUUUUUUCUUGGAAAUUCUCUGUAUUACAAUCGUCUUUUAUAAUAUUUUUAUUAAUAUUAUUUUGUUCCAAACAUGCCCUUGUCUUAUCCAAAUAAUGCCCCGUACUCUCCUGCCCUUCUCUCUAUUCUUAUAAGGGCAGUGGCCUGUGGAUCAAAGACCACAGUCCCAAGAGAGAAGAGAAAGACAAAGCAAUUAAGCUCACAAGAGAGAAGCUCUUCUAUUUUCUAGAGUAAGAAAGAAGAAAGAAGACGAUGGCCAAGGAAGUAAGUGAAGAAACGCAAACUACCCAUGCAAAGGAUUAUGUUGAUCCACCACCUGCGCCACUGAUCGACAUGGCUGAAAUCAAGCUCUGGUCUUUCUACAGAGCUUUAAUAGCUGAGUUCAUAGCCACUCUCCUUUUCCUUUACAUAACUGUAGCCACUGUAAUUGGCUACAAGAAACAAACUGAUCCAUGUGGUGGAGUUGGUCUUUUGGGCAUUGCAUGGGCCUUUGGUGGCAUGAUCUUUAUCCUUGUUUACUGCACUGCCGGUAUAUCUGGUAAGUAAAAAAAAAAGGAACUAUUUCUCUAAGUUACUAGUACCCAAAUGGGUAUUUAUUAAGUUUUAGGUUUCUGUGAAGUUUCUUUGUGGAUUUGGUCAUUCAACUUGAAAAAUAACAAAACCCAUUUGUUUUCAAGACCUGUUUAAUAAUGGGUUUUCCUUAUUUUGGUUACAGGUGGUCAUAUUAACCCAGCAGUGACCUUUGGGCUGUUUUUAGCAAGAAAGGUGUCACUAAUUCGAGCCUUGGCUUACAUGGUGGCUCAGUGUUUAGGUGCCAUCUGUGGUGUAGGGUUGGUCAAAGCUUUUAUGAAGAAUCCAUAUAAUCAUCUUGGUGGUGGUGCUAACUCUGUAAAUACCGGCUAUAGCAAAGGAACUGCUUUGGGUGCUGAGAUCAUCGGCACUUUUGUUCUAGUCUACACUGUUUUCUCUGCAACUGACCCCAAGAGAAGUGCACGUGACUCACACGUUCCUGUAUGUUAUCAACCAUAGCCUAGUAUAGCUCUCCUCUUUCAUGUCAAAGAGUUCAAAUCUAAACUUUGUUUUGGUUAUGUUUGGUUGCAGAUUUUGGCUCCACUUCCAAUUGGGUUUGCAGUUUUUAUGGUUCACUUGGCUACCAUACCCAUUACUGGUACUGGUAUUAACCCAGCGAGGAGCUUCGGUGCUGCUGUUAUUUACAACAAUGAUAAAGUCUGGGAUGAUCAUGUAAGCCUCUUGAUAGUCAACCAGAAACUUAUUUUUCUUGAUUUUAUGGUUGUUUUGAAGUUGGUGCUUUUUAACAUAAAACAUCAGAAGUAGGUUAAUUUUCAAGAAUAUGUUUAUCUUCUUGAUAAAAUAAUUUAAUUUCCUUUUUAAUUAUUUUUUGGAUGGGCAGUGGAUUUUCUGGGUUGGACCGUUUGUUGGAGCAAUUGCAGCAGCUGCAUACCAUCAAUACAUACUGAGAGCAGCAGCUAUCAAAGCUUUGGGAUCUUUCCGCAGCAACCCCACCAACUAAAAUGAAAGAAAGAACGAAAGAAAGAAAAACAAGAAAAAAAAAAAAAACCAAAGGCUUUGUGUAGCUAUCUUUAGUCUCUAGUCUUUCUUUUUCUCUAUUUGUUUGUUUGUUGUGUGUAAUGAGAGGAUUAUGAUGAUGACCCUUCUUUCUUCUUUCUUUUUUUACUUCAUUUUUUCUUUUCUUAUUGUUCUUUUGUAUCAUUGUUAAUGAGUAGUGCUGUUCUUUUUUCUUUCUUUUGAUCAUAUUUAAUUGCUUUGUGCAGUGUAGAACGUUCUCUCUCAACACUCUUUUAAUAAUUAGCCACUAAAUAAACUACCAGCUAACUAAAUUUUUAUCCUCUCGACCUUCAUUACAGCGGUGCUAGUGAAUUUGUGAGUAGCGGUUAGGCCAUCUUCGGGAACAGUUUUUUCAUAUGGC